UUGAAUUUCGGGAAUCAAAUUGUUGGUCGUGCUUCGGUACGCACUGGCAUUAUUGGGUUUCUACCUUCUGAAGAACCGCGAUGUCAUUAAUUUGGUGUCGUGGGGAAUCAGGACUGUUACUUUGAAAAAUUAGAGUGUUUAAAGCAGGCUUACGCUUGAACACAUUAGCGUGGAAUAAUGAAAUAGGACGUUUGAUUCUAUUUUGUUGGUUUCUAGGAUCGACGUAAUGAUUAAUAGGGAUAGUUGGGGGCAUUAGUAUUCAAUUGUCAGAGGUGAAAUUCUUGGAUUUAUUGAAGACUAACUACUGCGAAAGCAUUUGCCAAGGAUGUUUUCAUUAAUCAAGAACGAAAGUUAGGGGAUCGAAGACGAUCAGAUACCGUCGUAGUCUUAACCAUAAACUAUGCCGACUAGGGAUCGGAUGAUGUUAAUUUUUUAAUGACUC
rnacentral:rRNA from 1 species